rnacentral:rRNA from 1 species
ACGGAAGGCAGCAGUCGGGAAUAUUGCGCAAUGGAGGAAACUCUGACGCAGUGACGCCGCGUAUAGGAAGAAGGUUUUCGGAUUGUAAACUAUUGUCGAUAGGGAAGAAAAAAAGACUGUACCAAUCAAGAAAGCUCCGGCUAACCACGUGCCAGCAGCCGCGGUAAUACGUAGGGAGCAAGCGUUAUCCGGAUUUAUUGGGUGUAAAGGGUGCGUAGACGGGAAAUUAAGUUAGUUGUGAAAUCCCUCGGCUCAACUGAGGAACUGCAACUAAAACUGGUUUUCUUGAGUGCAGGAGAGGAAAGUGGAAUUCCUAGUGUAGCGGUGAAAUGCGUAGAUAUUAGGAGGAACACCAGUGGCGAAGGCGACUUUCUGGACUGUAACUGACGUUGAGGCACGAAAGUGUGGGGAGCAAACAGGAUUAGAUACCCUGGUA